rnacentral:rRNA from 1 species
GACGAACGCUGGCGGCGUGCUUAACACAUGCAAGUCGAACGGAAAGGCUCCUUUGGGGGUACUCGAGUGGCGAACGGGUGAGUAACACGUGAGUAACCUGCCCUUGACUUCGGGAUAACUUCAGGAAACUGGGGCUAAUACCGGAUAGGAAUCCUUGCUGCAUGGUGGGGGUUGGAAAGCUUCGGCGGUUUUGGAUGGACUCGCGGCUUAUCAGCUUGUUGGUGGGGUAGUGGCUUACCAAGGCUUUGACGGGUAGCCGGCCUGAGAGGGCGACCGGCCACAUUGGGACUGAGAUACGGCCCAGACUCCUACGGGAGGCAGCAGUGGGGAAUAUUGCACAAUGGGCGGAAGCCUGAUGCAGCAACGCCGCGUGCGGGAUGACGGCCUUCGGGUUGUAAACCGCUUUCAGCAGGGGCGAAGCUUGUGGUGACGGUACCUGCAGAAGAAGCACCGGCUAACUACGUG